AGUAGAAUAAGGCCACUGCAGUAAGAUACCAGCAACCAGUCGCGAAAAAUUCACACCACACACACACACUUCGCGAAAAAUUCUCUAGCAGCGGCCAAAUCCUUCGCAAAUUCCUCCGUGUCUUUGUGAUUUCGCCCUCCAUUCAUCAAUCGGUGCUAGUUUUCCCCAAAUUCGUCCAAUUUAUUCGGUAAUUUAUGGCAUCUUCUUCAACUUCUCGUCGUCGGCUCUUAUGUGGUCCUGAGGACCCCUCCGUAUUAUAUCUGCAGAGACAACACGUCUCUAAUAACAUAUGGGCAGGAGUGCCAUCGGAAGACGUACGGUGUAGAAGAUACGAAGGAAUCAUAUGGGAUGUUCCCAUAAAUCCUCGUGUUUUGGCGGUUAUAGAUGAGAUGGGGUUCGGCGGGAUGUUGAGGUGUGGUCAACCGAAAGACAUUGACCACCAUCUUAUCACCGCUUUGAUUGAACGUUGGAGGCCAGAGACUCACACGUUUCACUUUCCAGUCGGUGAAGCGACUGUGAGCUUAGAAGACGUGGAGGUCUUAUGGGGCCACAAAACUGACGGUGAGCCUCUGACGGGUUACAUCCCCACUAAGGAUGUCAACUAUUGGAAGGAUGUUUGUUUGGAUUUUCUUGGCUUUAUUCCAGAUGCAGUUGAUCUAAAAGAAAUGAACUGGAAGCAGACAAGCUAAUCAAAUCAACUGCGGAUUGAGUUGAGUGAUGACCACGAGCAAUACAUGUACAAUCAACGUGCUCGUGUGUAUUGUCUGCUGUUACUGGGUGGUCUACUGAUCCCGAACGCUACCGGUAAUAAAAUUCCCUUCUUCUACCUUCAGUUUUUCAUGGAUAUAGAACAAUGUGGUAGCUAUAGCUGGGGAGGUGCGACUCUUGCCUGCUCGUACCACAAUCUAUGUGAAGCUGCACUUGGUAAGAGGACCGAUGUCGGGGGAGCUCUUACAUUGUUACAGCUGUGGCCUUGUGAAAGAAUCCCAAUUAUUAGACCGCAGAUGCUGAACCUCGCGCCCGUAGACUACUUACCAUGUGUAGUCGCGUAAGUUGUCCACUAAUUACUCUUUUAAGCAUAAUUUUUAUUGAUUUUUGUGUUGUUCGCUCAUAAUUUAAUUUUUGUUGAUGGACUGGUCGGGCCUCUUAUGUAAAAGCACCGGGGCAUUGCAUUGAAACUUUCAGAGAUCAGUUCUCAACAAUGCAUGCCAAUCAGUUUAUUUGGAGGCCGUAUGAAUCGCGAAAUCUGCCGGAUGUUUGGGUUGCCGGUCGUCCUAUAUGGACGUCGAUGACAACACUAAUCUGCUGGAAUAUGGUUGAGCCACACAUGCCACAGCGGGUGUUGCGACAAUUUGGGAUUGUCCAACCUUAUAUCCCGCUUGUCGACCGGUUCCACGGAUCUGAUUUUACGAAACAGGAUCGACGUGGCAAAGCAGGUCGGAACUGGGUUGAGUGGCACGCCAAUCAUAUACAAGAUUGGCAUAAUAGGCACGACACGGUGUAUGUUGAUUUGGAGUACUCAUUGGUGCCUGUUGCUACUGAUGAGUACAUGGAUUGGUUUCGCCGGAUAACCGUGGUGUACCUAACAAAACCUGGGGUGCAUUCUCCUGAGGGCUUCCAUGAAACGGCGGCCUCUCAUCACUACGCGGUAGAUUUCAACAACUAUUCUUUAUUUAUAUUCAUAUGAUGAAAUGUAAUUAACACUGAAAAUUGUAGGUGAAGACCCUUCACAAAAUACGCCACUUUCUUAGGGAGCAAGACAUGUCAGGACGGCCGGAUUUAUUCACCAUUUCGAGAAUGGUUGAAGAUGGCCUCCAGAUAUGUGGGGAAGCUGAGACGAUGGACCAACGUCCUUCACAGCGCUCUGAGCUGGACCUUGACAUGCCCGUGCGGCAAAAAGCGAAGCGGCGUGGAAAGAAGAAAGUUGGUGGAGAGUCGUCAUCAUCAAGGAUGGAUACUCAGUUGGUUGAUGAUUCUGAUGACGAUUUUGUGGCUCCACCUCCACCAAGAUCUGCCGUGCGGGGUCGUCACUCUGUCAGCCACACGGGUGGUACAGGAGAAGAUUUCGGUCUCAGCGAUCAACAAUCUCCACCUCGGUCUUCUGUGAGAGACGACUUUUUUGGUGUUGAUUUAGAGAAUGCCGUCGUUGAAGAUACUCCUCCGUCUAGAAUCCCUAAGACCAGUAUCGGGAAGGGAAUCCGUAGUCUGUUUAUGCGGAAAAGGCGAGACGAGUGAACGCUUUAUAUUAGUAAUUUGAUAUAUUGGUGUUUUUACAUUGAUUUGAACGCUUUAUAUUAGUAAUUUGAUAUAUUGUAUUGAUAUUGGUGUUUUUUCAUUGAUUUGGCGCAUGUAUAUUAGUAAUUUGAUAAAUCCACUUUUUACACGUAUGCAUGUUGAUAAUUUGAACUCUUAUAAUUUUUAUUGGUAAAUUUUUUAAAACACGCAACUCAAGAUGGCGUUUUUAAGUUUAAAAAAUUUUUGCAAUUUUUUGCCACGCCGAGGUUGAGUUUCUGAACAAACACGCCAAGCUUACUAGGAGUUUUUAGAAACACGCCAACGUCAUAGGCGUUUUUCCUUUAAAACGCCUACUUCAGUGGCGUUUUUUAAAACACGCCACUCAAGAUGGCGUUUUCAAGUUUGAAAAUUUUUUGACAAUUUUUUGCCACGCCGAGGUUGAGUUUCUGAACAAACACGCCAAUCGGCGUUGGCGUUUUUAAAACACGCCAACGACAUAGGCGUGUCUAGUUAAAAACGCCUACUUAAGUGGCGUUUUCUACACAAACCCGCCAACUUAGGUUGCGUUUUCAGGAAAAAUGCCAUCUUGAGUGGCGUUUUUAAAUAAACUAAAUUUUACAUUUUGUGUAUUCCAUGACUUGCCAAAAUAUAAGUAAAACGUUACAAUGUUCAAUUCAAUAAAUAACUACGACGCCGCCAAAAUAUAAGUAAAACAGAACAAUGUUCACAUCUGCUAAAUAGUUGUUACACGUUCAAUUGUCUCGCCUUCUCCGCGUAAAGAAACUACGGAUACCCUUUCCGAUUCUGGCGGUUGAGAGUCUAGACGGAGGAGUAUCUUCCACAACAACAUUCUCUAAAUCAACCCCGAAAAAAUCGUCUCGCACAGAAGAUCUAGGCAGAGAAUGUGGGACAUAACUGAGCCCGAUGUCUUCGCCUGUACCACCAGUGUGGCUGACAGAAUGACGACCUCGAACUGCAGAUCUUGGUGGAGGUGGAGGCAUAAAAUCGUGCUCGGCAUCAUCAGUGUGGCUGAUAGAAUGACGACCUCGAACUGCA